UACGUAGGGGGCGAGCGUUGUCCGGAUUCAUUGGGCGUAAAGAGCUCGUAGGCGGCUUGGCAAGUCGGGUGUGAAAACUUCAGGCUCAACCUGGAGCGGCCACUCGAUACUGCCAUGGCUUGAGUCCGGUAGGGGACCACGGAAUUCCUGGUGUAGCGGUGAAAUGCGCAGAUAUCAGGAGGAACACCGGUGGCGAAGGCGGGGUCUGGGCCGGAACUGACGCUGAGGAGCGAAAGCGUGGGGAGCGAACAGG
rnacentral:rRNA from 1 species